UCCCCGCCCUCUUGAGCUUCCCUUCGACAUCCCCCAUCCCACCCCUCUAGGUCAUCACAGAGCACCGAGCUCAGCUCCCUGUGCUAUGCAGUAGCUUCCUGCUAGCUCUUUUACACAUGAUAAUGUAUUUAUAUGUCAGAGCUACUCUCCCAGUUCGUUCCACCCUCCCUGUUCCCCCUCCUGUGUCCAUAAGUCCAUUCUGUACAUCUGUGUCUCUAUUCCUGCCCUGCAAAUAGGUUCAUCUGUACCAUUUUUCUAGAUUCCCUGUAUUUAAAAAAUCAUGGUAUAGAAUUCAAAAGAUUAAAGAGACUGGGAUCGUGAAAUUUGCUAAGACAGUAAAUCUUAAAUAUUCCCACUCUGCAUGCACACAAAUGGUAACUGUAUGAGAUGAUGUAUGUAUUAAGUUGAUUGUGGUAAACGUUGUACACCUUAAAUAUAUAUAAUCUCUGUCAGUUAUGCCUCAUUAAAGCUUAAAAAAAAAAAGGCUGGGAUAUAAAAGGAAAGUUUCUUUCUCUGUUUUUUGUGCCCCCAGAUACUCAGAUCCCCUUCCUGUGUCAACCACUGUUCACUAGUUUUAUUGAGUUUCCUGCCAAAGAUACUCUGUGCAUUUACAAAAAAAUAAGUUAAUGUGCUCUAUAACUACGCCCCCCCCAUAAACGGUAGCACAUCUAUUCUGCAUUUUUCUUUUAUCAUAUAAGAGUAUUUCUUGGUGAUCUUUCUGAAUCUCAAUACAGAGUAGACCUGCAUCAUUUUUAAGGGCUGCAUAGUACUCCAAUCAUGAGCAGACAAUAGGCAUGAUAUUCUCCCAGGCUGUAAAAGGAGACUUGCAUUUUUUUAUUCAUGUAGCUGCUGUAACAUGACUCUUUAGAAAAUAUCAAAGACUUCAGAUACAGUACAUAUAAAUUCCAUAGGCUGGAGAACGAACAGGAAGCAUAUAUCGUUUUUUUCAUUGAAGAUUGAGAGAGGCACAUUUUCCUGCGUUCCCAUUUGGAUCCAUGAAAGUGAUGUUCUGUGUUCUGUUCACUGCAGUUUAGGGGCCUGGAUGGCUCGUCUAGUGUCACAGAAGCAGUUUACUUAUGCAAAUGACUAAAUAUGAAAUAAUUGGAAUCUUGCAAUUCUGUCAAGUGCCUCCCAGUUGAAGGUGAUAGCAGUCUGUUCCCGUAAGCCCCGCCUGGAGUAGCAUUUGGAUACUUCCCUUCCCGCUCUGAAAGGUGGAGCAGUCUUCAGACUACUGGGCUGCUACUAAGGCUGCCUGGGCAGCCCUGCGCAGGCCCUCCCUGGAGCAGAGCCAUGCCAUCCUCAAACCUGGAGAGCGGCAGGCAUUCAUCUCAAGUUCAUGAAAAGGCCGUGCACUUCGCUAUUUGUGCAACAGCGCGUCUGUGAGAAUAAAACCCGUCUUUACUGCAGUCCUCUGGGACCCUCGCAGAAAUGAGAUGUUGAUCAUAUGAAGCAAUCGUACUGAACAAAACAAAAAAAAAAAACUUUCAAGGAAAAGAAGUUGUGUCCCCUGAGCCAGCCCGUCUGCUAAAGGGGGAUGCGCCGCUUUGCAGAGUGAGCCGGCUGAAAGCCAGCAGGGAGCGACGGGGGUGCCCGCCAUUGGUUAGAAUUCUCCCAGCAUACAUGAUCUCCUUGUUCUCCCUUUGAUGGAUUCAGUCUCUCAAAAAUAAAAUGCAUCUGUGAACAUCA